rnacentral:rRNA from 13 species
AAUUUAUUUCACCUGUAGGCUUUGUAAAAUCUUAAAUUCUAUGAAAAAAAUUAAUAUCUCAUCCCUCAAAUAUGACCGUACAGCCAAUAAAAUGACACAAAAUGAUAAUGAGAAAAAUGUCAAAAUGGGGCAAUUCCCGCACUCUCGUACAGAGUCA